AGCGAACGCUGGCGGCAGGCCUAACACAUGCAAGUCGAACGAACCUUUCGGGGUUAGUGGCGGACGGGUGAGUAACAUGUGGGAACGUGCCUUUAAGUUCGGAAUAACUCAGGGAAACUUGUGCUAAUACCGAAUGUGCCCUUCGGGGGAAAGAUUUAUCGCCUUUAGAGCGGCCCGCGUCUGAUUAGCUAGUUGGUUGAGGUAAUGGCUCACCAAGGCGACGAUCAGUAGCUGGUCUGAGAGGAUGAUCAGCCACAUUGGGACUGAGACACGGCCCAAACUCCUACGGGAGGCAGCAGUGGGGAAUCUUGCGCAAUGGGCGAAAGCCUGACGCAGCCAUGCCGCGUGAAUGAUGAAGGUCUUAGGAUUGUAAAAUUCUUUCACCGGGGACGAUAAUGACGGUACCCGGAGAAGAAGCCCCGGCUAACUUCGUG
rnacentral:rRNA from 1 species